rnacentral:tRNA from 1 species
GGUGGUAGCUCAGUUGGUAGAGCAUCAGCCUUCCAAGCUGAGGGUCGCGAGUUCGAGCCUCGUCCGC